UACAGAGGGUGCAAGCGUUAAUCGGAAUUACUGGGCGUAAAGCGCGCGUAGGCGGCUGCCUAAGUCGGGUGUGAAAGCCCCGGGCUCAACCUGGGAACUGCCUUUGAUACUGCAAAUCUCGAGUCCGGAAGAGGUGAGUGGAAUUCCUAGUGUAGAGGUGAAAUUCGUAGAUAUUAGGAAGAACACCAGUGGCGAAGGCGGCUCACUGGUCCGGUACUGACGCUGAGGUGCGAAAGCGUGGGGA
rnacentral:rRNA from 1 species